rfam:Penicillium oxalicum 114-2 unplaced genomic scaffold scaffold_5, whole genome shotgun sequence.
GGGCUUGUGGCCUAGUUGGUUAAGGCGUGGCUCUUAUGUUGUGUUCCGCCUGGCGGAUAUGACAUGAUAAUAUUAGCUGAAAUCGGGAGUUCGAGCCUCCCCUGGCCCA